AACUGUGUGGGAUGUAAAUCUGAACGCCCAGUAUUUCAUCUAAUUUUUUUUUUGUUCGCCAAUUGACUGCUCAGAAUAUAGUCUACCUCAUUUUUUCUCACUUGUAGUGCAAUGCGUUUUUCACAAUUUUGAUUGAAGGAUUGUUAAUGUAACCAUGUUUAGGAUGAUGGACAUGAAAGUCAUGGAAUAUAGGAGAGCGGUGAAGCAGGUGAAAGCAGCGGAUCUGAAAAGGAAGAGGCAAAUGACCAGGCAAUGGACAUAGAAUCGCCAAUAGAUGGUAGACGUUCAUCUGAGUCCAACCACCAACCUGAUGAU